AGGUAGACGAAGCUCAUCAGCUGAGGGAGAUGACGAUCAUCUGCUGAGGGCGAGGAUGAUCAUCAGCCGAGGUAGACGAAGCUCAUCAGCUGAGUGAGAGGACGAUCAUCUGCUGAGGGCGAGGAUGAUCAUCAGCUGAGGUAGACGAAGCUUAUCAGCUAAGGGAGAGGACGAUCAUCUGCUGAGGGCGAGGACGAUCAUCAGCUCAGGACGAAGCUUAUCAGCUGAGGUAGACGACGAUCAUCAGCUGAGGGAGAGGACGAUCAUCUGCUGAGGGCGAGGACGAUCAUCAGCUCAGGACGAGCUUAUCAGCUGAGGUAGACGACGAUCAUCAGCUGAGCGAGAGGACGAUCAUCUGCUGAGGGCGAGGACGAUCAUCCGCUGAGUGAGAGGAUGAUCAUCUGCUGAGGGCGAGGACGAUCAUCCGCUGAGGUAGACGUUAUCUUCGAAGGAUGACUCAAAAUUUGGCUAUAACGACUACCCCCCAGUUCCUUGUAACAUAAGUGCGAAAGGGU
rnacentral:lncRNA from 1 species